CGGCGAGCCCGCUGUGGGGGACGGCUCCCUGGCGCUUCCUCCGCCCCCUCCCUCGCUGCACGGCCCACGCAGGCCCAGGUGUUGACAAAGCUGACUGUGGAUCAGGUCUUUUAAGUACAGAGGAUAUGACGGCACAUCUGGAAGGACGGAAACACAUUACAAGCAUGACCAAUAGCUCGUUGGCGGGCAAAAAGUCUUCAUCGUAUGAGUCAUCGUUGGAAUCGUCGCCAUCUACUGACGACCAGGCCCUCAGUUUAGCCUCGGCAAUGGCGAACUGUUCUGCGACACCUGCAAACGCACAGUCCACAUUUGUCAGGUACACGUGCGAGCAAACACAUAGAAGGCACGGCAACGCCUGUGUGUCCAUGUUACACAGCUCUUUUUGACAGGCAGGAACAAAGUACAGUCAUUAAUUCCCGUUACAGCCGAUGCACAAUCGUUCUUCCAUUCUUUCUCGUAGCUUGGGAUAUGCUUGUUCCCAAUUACACAUGCCCGUAGAAUACUCGGGAGCACGGUGCACAAGUGGUGAGCAUGUCUGCCUCACAGUGGUUCCAUUCUCACCCUGGGCUUUCCUUGUGUGGGGUUUGCAUGUUCUCUCUGUGGAUGUGGAUGUUUUUUCCUCCUACAAAAAAAAAUGAAUGGGAAAGCCAGAGGAAACUCUGGUGGAGGCCCGCAGCGGUCCUGACGUGCAAAUCGGUCAUCCGACCUGGGUAUAGGGGCGAAAGACUAAUCAAACCAUCUAGUAGCUGGUUCCCUCCGAAUGUGUGGUUCACUGAAGAAUUUUGAUAGGUCCAUAAGAUUCAUAUGGAAAUCCUUUAUCCAUUAUGGAAUACAUAAGAGUAUGGAGUAUUUUGUUGGUGCACAUGCAAUUUGACAUACGACACUGACUCUACAAGUCAUUUACAGUACCUCAGUUGGAAAGUCCGUGACGCAGCCGAAGGUCCAUGAAGUUUUUUGUCAUGAGUUUUGUGCAAGUCUACAAGGAAAUUUUGGACUCACUCAUUCUCUCAGACUCAGUCUCUUUUGGGAUGUGCAGCAAGCAAGGUCAUCUUUGUUCAUUCAACAUUUUAUGUGAAGUGUAUGAUGUAUGUACACCGGAAGUUUGUCCCUUGAAUAAUGCCGUAGCUUCUCCCUUCCCUCUCCCCCAAGUGUAAUCUUUUGUAACAGACAUUCGUUUAUUACAUUCGGAAAACCUUUACAGGGAAUGGAGCCGUCUAAAUGUUUCCCGAGUCCUCAUUAAUAUUUGGCAUACAAGAAAAUAAGAAUAUAGCUGGGUUAGUCAGUGUGUUUUUUUUGAAGGGGUUAUAAUUUACCGCAAUUUAUUAGCUCUCUGAUGGUCGUGGAUCAAUAUUCCAAAAGAUUCACUGCAGGUCCUUACAGCAAGCAACAUUGCGGGACGCUACAAUAUUUGCAUUGCGCACACGUACGUCGCGAUGACGAUGCUCAAACAAUACAUAUUCUGCAGUCCUAACUCUGCCCAUUCUACACAACAUUGCAUCGAAAACUUUGGAAAGCAAACCCAAAAACUACUUUAGAAGAGUACAGGACCAAUUGCUGAAAUGACCCAGACAUAAGAAAAUGCAGUUGAAAGGACUUUUGUUAUUGACGAUAUGACAUGGCUCCUUCCUCAGCCAGCAAGCUCCAAUUUUUUAUUGCUUGGAUAAAUGAAAUCUAAUUUUUCUUUCGUACAUUUCUAAGAACCAUAAAGAGCCAUUCUCCCUGUUGCCUCUAAUUUUGCCUGCACCUUGUGGUGUUGGUUUCCACCUGCCUGUAAGACACCGUAUUGAAAGAAGCCAACUCAGCCACUGCAAUUCUUCUUUGGCGAUGAUAGAUCACUUAGUGUGUUAAAAUAAUCUAUUUGCACCGAUUCCACCUGAUCGCACAAAAGAAACUGCGUGACACUUUUACCAGUAAUGCAGACACAAUCCUGAGUGCACCUACGGUGAAGAAAAUAAGUAUUUGAACACCCUGCUAUAUUGGAAGUUCUCCCACAUACAAAUCAUGCAGGGGUCUGAAAUUUUCAUCAUAGGUGCAUAUCCACUGUGAGAGAGAUAAUGUAAAAAGAAAAAUCCAAAAAUAAUAAUAAUUAUCAUAAACAAUUAUACAAUUAUAAAAAAUAUUUUUUAUUUGUGUGAUACAGCUGCAAAUAAGUAUUUGAACACCUGAGAAAACCAAUGUUAAUAUUUGGUACAGUAGCCUUUUGUUUGCAAUUACAGUGCCAUUCAUGAUAGGAUUUCAAACCAUGACGUCUUAGCGUAUUUCCAACAGUCACCUUGGAAACGGUGGUCCCAGCUCUGUACAGGUCAUUGACCAAGUCCUGUCAUGUCGUCCUGGGGUGAUUCAUCACCUUUCUUAGGAUCAUUGAGACCCCACGAGGUGAUAUCCUGCAUGGGGCUCUACUCCGAUUGAGAUUGACCGUCAUGUUUAGGUUCUUCCAUUUUCUAAUGAUUGCUCCAACUGUGAACCUUUUUUCACCAAGUUCCUUGGCAAUUUGGCGACCCAUCUUCAAUGCUCUGACUGAGGGAAAGAAGUUGCUCCCCAAAAUCUCACAAUACAUGGCCACGGUCAUCCUCUCCUCAAUACAGUGCAGUCGUCCUGUCCCAUGAGAAGAAAAACACCCCCAAAGCAUGAUGUUACCACCCCCUUGCUUCACAGUAGGGAUGGUGUUCUUGGGAUGGAACUCAUCAUUCGUCCUCCUCCAAACACGGUUAGUGGAAUUACGACCAAAAAGUUCUGUUUUGGUCUCAUCUGACCACAAAACUUUCUCCCAUGAUUCCUCUGUAUCAUCCAAAUGGUUAUUGGCAAACUUAAGACGGGCCUUGACAUGUGCUGGUUUAAGCAGGGGAACCUUCUGUGCCAUGCAUGAUUUCAAACCAUGACGUCUUAGUGUAUUACCAACAGUCACCUUGGAAACGGUGGUCCCAGCUCUUUUCAGAUCAAGUUCUGUCGUGUAGUCCAGGGCUGAUCCCUCACCUUUCUAAGGAUCAUUGAGAUCCCACGAGGUGAUAUCUUGAAUGGCGUGCCACUCUGCUUGAGACUGACCAUCAUGCUUAGCGUCUUCCAUUUUCUCAUGAUUGCUCCAACAGUGGGCCUUUUUUCACCAAGCUGCUUAGCAAUUUCUUUGUAGCCCUUUCCAGCCGUGUGGAGUUGUACAAUUUUGUCUCUGGUGUAUUUAGACAGCUCUUUGGCCAUGUUACAAGUUUGAGUCUUACAGAUGGUAUGGGGUGGACAUGUGUCUUUAUGCAGCUAACGACCUCACAGAGGUGCAUCCGAUUCAGGAUAUUACAUGGAGUGGAGGUGGACUUUUAAAGGCGGACUAACAGGUCUUUGAGAGUCAGAAUUCUAGCUGAUAGACAGGUGUUCAAAUACUUAUUUGCAGCUGCAUCACACAAAUAAUAUGUUAAAAAAUCAUACAUUGUUAUUUCUGGAUUUUUCUUUUUUGAUUAUCUCUCUCACAGUGGACAUCAGCCUGUGAUGAAGAUUCUAGACUCCUCCGUGAUUUAUAAUUGGGAGAACUUGAUAUAUAGCAGGGUGUUCAAAUACUUAUUUUCUUCACUGUAGUUAGUAGAUCAGAUUACACAUCACAUUUGUGUGCAAUAUUCAAGUUUGUGGUAUUUUUUUGCCUCUCGCAAAUAGUUAUUAAUGUAUUUCAAUUUAGAAUAGGCUGUUGUUAAUCUGUUGGAAGAAACAUUAAAAUUGUACCAAAGUGGAGUAAAAGUGCUCAUGCACGAUUGGGAGUUUGUGGGUGAUUCUACCAUUGUGCUGCAUUGUUCAGAACUGUCCCCUCAACGGUGAACCAUUUCCUGUUGCCUCUCACAAUAAAACCAAUUUCUUCCA